CCUACGGGGGGCUGCAGUCGAGGAUCUUCGGCAAUGGGCGCAAGCCUGACCGAGCGACGCCGCGUGUGCGAUGAAGGCCUUCGGGUUGUAAAGCACUGUCGAGGGGGAGGAAGCCCGCAAGGGUUGACCGACCCCUGGAGGAAGCACGGGCUAAGUUCGUGCCAGCAGCCGCGGUAAGACGAACCGUGCGAACGUUGUUCGGAUUCACUGGGCUUAAAGGGCGCGUAGGCGGGCACGCAAGUCGGGGGUGAAAGCCCACAGCUCAACUGUGGAAGUGCCCCCGAUACUGUGUGCCUGGAGGGAGGUAGGGGCGUGUGGAACUUCCGGUGGAGCGGUGAAAUGCGUAGAUAUCGGAAGGAACGCCGGUGGCGAAAGCGACGCGCUGGACCUCUUCUGACGCUGAGGCGCGAAAGCCAGGGGAGCAAACGGGAUUAGAUACC
rnacentral:rRNA from 1 species